UACGUAGGCAGCAAGCGUUGUUCGGAGUUACUGGGCGUAAAGGGUGCGCAGGCGGCCGAGUGUGUGAGGCGUGAAAGCCCGGGGCUUAACCCCGGAAUUGCACCUCAAACUACACGGCUAGAGCAUUGGAGAGGGUAGCAGAAUUCAUGGUGUAGCAGUGAAAUGCGUAGAUAUCAUGAGGAAUACCAGAGGCGAAGGCGGCUACCUGGACAAUUGCUGACGCUCAGGCACGAAAGCGUGGGGAGCAAAAGGG
rnacentral:rRNA from 1 species